GGUUGUAUGGUGUAGUGGUUAUCACAUUUCGUUAACACCGAAAAGGUCUCCGGUUCGAAACCGGAUACGAUCA